UUAUUGCGAGGGUAUAUGAUUCUGACCCAGGGGCUUCAUUGCGAGGGUCAGGUACAGGUUGAGCAGUGUGGUAUGGGCCUGAGGUCUUCGGACUAAUAGGGCAGCGAGAUUGGGUACUUUUGAAGUUAUCGUCAGUUGACGCAUGCAUAUAAUAGUUGUAGUGUUUAUUUCCAGUACGUCCUUAUCUGUUUAUUGUAGCUACUGUUUUAUUUACCUACAUCUAUACUUGUCAGCUCCUUACAUACCUCUUUCGUUUAUUAUUGUUGCUACUAUAUUCCCACUGACCCGUGUUGUUGUAUAGCUCUUCCUGAUCCGGUGAGUACUCCUCGCCUUCUUCGGCUUGCGGUACCCACUGGGAGGGGAGACAUGUUUACAUGUUCUCACCUCCCCCACUAUUUUUUUCAGGUAUCGCGGACGGUGAGGGUUGAGACGAGACGUGAGAUACGUAGCGGUCGAUAGAGCUUUCGACCCAGGUUAUUUCGGUUUAGUUAUUACCCCUAUUAUUUCUGUUGAUGUAUAGUUUAGUUGGUUUAUGUGGUUCAGUAUUUCAUUACGUUAAAAUAAAAGGAUUUCUGGAUUUUGUAAAAUAAAAGAUUUUCUACCCCUCGUGGUAGCGUUUUUUUUUUAAAAGAUAAAAGUUCCCGUAUAGGGAACAACUUUCGAAAGGUUUUCUGUGAUUUUGUAUCUUAGUAUUUCAAAACCUGCUUCUGUGGUUGGAAACAUUUUAACUGAUAGGUGUGGAUUUAUGCAUAAAUGUGAAUCUGUGGUAAAUGGUGUAUGAAUAUAUAUAACGGUUGGUUAUUUGUAUGUUCAUUUGUUGUGGUUGUGCCUGGAUGACUUCUUGU
rnacentral:lncRNA from 1 species